rnacentral:rRNA from 1 species
ACCAGACUCCUACGGGAGGCAGCAGUGGGGAAUAUUGCACAAUGGGGGGAACCUUGAUGCAGCAACGCCGCGUGGGUGAAGAAGUACUCCGGUAUGUAAAGCCCUGUCAGCAGGGAAGAAAAUGACGGUACCUGACCAAGAAGCCCCGGCUAACUACGUGCCAGCAGCCGCGGUAAUACGUAGGGGGCAAGCGUUAUCCGGAUUUACUGGGUGUAAAGGGAGCGUAGACGGCUAUGCAAGUCUGGAGUGAAAGGCGGGGGCCCAACCCCCGGACUGCUCUGGAAACUGUAGAGCUAGAGUGCAGGAGAGGGAAGUGGAAUUCCUAGUGUAGCGGUGAAAUGCGUAGAUAUUAGGAGGAACACCAGUGGCGAAGGCGGCGUACUGGACUGUAACUGACGUUGAGGCUCGAAAGCGUGGGGAGCAAACAGGAUUAGAUACCCUCGUAACU